rnacentral:rRNA from 1 species
GCCCUUCGGGUACACGAGCGGNGAACGGGUGAGUAACACGUGAGCAACCUGCCCCCGACACCGGGAUAAGCCGUGGAAACGCGGUCUAAUACCGGAUACGACGCGCCNCCNCAUGGGGUGCGCGUGGAAAGGUUCACUCCGGUUGGGGAUGGGCUCGCGGCCUAUCAGCUUGUUGGUGGGGUGAAGGCCUACCAAGGCGAUUACGGGUAGCCGGCCUGAGAGGGCGACCGGCCACACUGGGACUGAGACACGGCCCAGACUCCUGCGGGAGGCAGCAGUGGGGAAUCUUGCGCAAUGGGCGAAAGCCUGACGCAGCGACGCCGCGUGGGGGAUGACGGCCUUCGGGUUGUAAACCUCUUUUACCACUCACGCANGCCCCGGGUUCUCCCGGGGUUGACGGNAGGUGGGGAAUAAGGACCGGCUAACUACGUGCCANCAGCCGCGGUAAUACGUAGGGUCCGAGCGUUGUCCGGAAUUAUUGGGCGUAAAGAGCUCGUAGGCGGCGUGUCGCGUCUGCUGUGAAAGACCGGGGCUUAACCCCGGUUUUGCAGUGGAUACGGGCAUGCUAGAGGUAGGUAGGGGAGACUGGAAUUCCUGGUGUAGCGGUGAAAUGCGCNNAUAUCAGGANGAACACCGGUGGCGAANGCGGGUCUCUGGGCCUUACCUGACGCUGAGGAGCGAAAGCGUGGGGAGCGAACAGGAUUAGAUACCCUGGUAGUCCACNCCGUAAACGUUGGGCGCUAGGUGUGGGGGCUUUC